rnacentral:rRNA from 1 species
GACGAACCGUGCGAACGUUUAUUCGGAAUCACUGGGCUUAAAAGCGCGUGUAGGCGGAUGGGGACGUCGGUCGCUGAAAGCCCCCGGCUCAACCGGGGAAGUGGCGCCGAAACGCCCCGUCCGGAGGGACGUAGGGGGACCUGGAAGCUUCCGGUGGAGCGGUGAAUGCGUUGAGAUCGUGAGGAACGCCGCGGCGAAAGCGACGGUCCUGGACGUUUCGACGCGUGAGUACGC